rnacentral:rRNA from 1 species
AUUGAACGCUGGCGGCAGGCUUAACACAUGCAAGUCGAGCGGAGUGAUGGUGCUUGCACUAUCACUUAGCGGCGGACGGGUGAGUAAUGCUUAGGAAUCUGCCUAUUAGUGGGGGACAACAUCUCGAAUGGGAUGCUAAUACCGCAUACGUCCUACGGUAGAAAGCAGGGGAUCACUUGUGUCCUUGCGCUAAUAGAUGAGCCUAAGUCGGAUUAGCUAGUUGGUGGGGUAAAGACCUAACAAGGGGACGAUCAGCAGCGGGUCUGAGAGGAUGAUCGGCCACACUGGGACUGAGACACGGCCCAGACUCCUACGGGAGGCAGCAGUGGGGAAUAUUGGACAAUGGGGCGAACCCUGAUCCAGCCAUGCCGCGUGUGUGAAGAAGGCCUUAUGGUUGUAAAGCACUUUAAGCGAGGAGGAGGCUCUUUUGGUUAAUACCCAAGAUGAGUGGACGUUACUCGCAGAAUAAGCACCGGCUAACUCUGUGCCAGCCGCCGCAGUAA